AUGCCAUUCCAAAUUUUUAGGCAAGGUGCAUUCAAUUAGGCAUGAGACUAUGUUCUUAGUGUUUGAUUUAUCAAAUUGAUUUAACUCUCAACAUUCUAGAUGAGAUAUGACACCAUCAACAAGUUGCUUUUCACCAGAAAAGGAGUACUAAAUGAACCAUUCGUGGCCUACACUGAACCAGGUAUUGCUCUAUUGUAAGAGCACAGCAAAGCUAUUCCUAACGUUCUCCAAUUCUCUUCUCCCUCUCCCUCACAUUUUUUUUUUUUUUUU
rnacentral:lncRNA from 1 species